UAUUGGCUAGAGAUAAGACAAAGA
rnacentral:miRNA from 1 species